rnacentral:rRNA from 1 species
AUUGAACGCUGGCGGCAGGCCUAACACAUGCAAGUCGAACGAGUGGCGGACGGGUGAGUAAUGUCUGGGAAACUGCCUGAUGGAGGGGGAUAACUACUGGAAACGGUAGCUAAUACCGCAUACCAUCAGAUGUGCCCAGAUGGGAUUAGCUUGUUGGUGGGGUAACGGCUCACCAAGGCGACGAUCCCUAGCUGGUCUGAGAGGAUGACCACGCACAGUGGAACUGGGACACGGGACAGACUCGUACGGGGGGCAGCGGGGGGGAAUGUUGCAAAAUGGGAGAAAGCCUGAUGCGGCCAUGCCGCGUGUAGGACGAAGGCCUACGGGUUGUAAAGUACUUUCAGCGGGGAGGCGUUACCCGAAGAAGAAGCACCGGCUAACUCCGUGCCAGCAGCCGCGGUAAUUC